rnacentral:rRNA from 1 species
AUUGAACGCUGGCGGCAUGCUUUACACAUGCCAGUCGAACGGUAACAGGCCGCAAGGUGCUGACGAGUGGCGAACGGGUGCGUAAUGCAUCGAAACGUGCCCAGUCGUGGGGGAUAACUACUCGAAAGAGUAGCUAAUACCGCAUACGAUCUAUGGAUGAAAGCGGGGGACCGUAAGGCCUCGCGCGAUUGGAGCGGCCGAUGUCAGAUUAGGUAGUUGGUGGGGUAAAGGCUCACCAAGCCAACGAUCUGUAGCUGGUCUGAGAGGACGACCAGCCACACUGGAACUGAGACACGGCCCAGACUCCUACGGGAGGCAGCAGUGGGGAAUUUUGGACAAUGGGCGCAAGCCUGAUCCAGCAAUGCCGCGUGCAGGAAGAAGGCCUUCGGGUUGUAAACUGCUUUUGUACGGAACGAAACGGCUCUGGUUAAUACCCGGGGCUAAUGACGGUACCGUAAGAAUAAGCACCGGCUAACUACGUG